GGCCUGAUGGUCUAGUAGUAUGAUUCCUUGUUAGGGUGAAAGCAUCCUCAUCGAGGAGGUCCUGGGUUCAAUUCCCAGUCAGGCCC